AAGAAAUCAUUUGCAGGCACUGGACAAAAAAGAGUGCAAAACUAUAAUCUUGAGAGCAGGACACACACAGUUUGCAGCAUCACAGAAAAUGAUGCUCUCUCCUGCCAAGUCCCAUUUUUUGGGAGGAGGAAAUGGAUUAGGUCCUGGAGGUUGUCAUAAAUGCAUCAAGUGACUUUCUCAGCAUCAUCUGAAACAUGCAGCCAUCCAGCCCAGAACACAACAAGAAUAGAGUUGAUGAGCCCUCUUCUCCUCAACAAACACCUGUGAUGAGAACAUUGAGGCAAGGGAACAGGUGGCCAAAAAUACCCUCAUAGCCUUGAGAAAGUCCAUCUUGAUGUUAUCCAGUGAAACUUAAUGGCAACGCAGGAGCCAGGGAGCCUGCUUUAUUUUGGAAAUGAAAAAGUCAGUACAGUUGAUGAGAAUUUGAAGAGAAAAGACACAACAAAG
rnacentral:lncRNA from 10 species